GACGAACGCUGGCGGCGUGCUUAACACAUGCAAGUCGAACGGAAAGGCCCUGCUUUUGUGGGGUGCUCGAGUGGCGAACGGGUGAGUAACACGUGAGUAACCUGCCCUUGACUUUGGGAUAACUUCAGGAAACUGGGGCUAAUACCGGAUAGGAGCUCCUGCUGCAUGGUGGGGGUUGGAAAGUUUCGGCGGUUGGGGAUGGACUCGCGGCUUAUCAGCUUGUUGGUGGGGUAGUGGCUUACCAAGGCUUUGACGGGUAGCCGGCCUGAGAGGGUGACCGGCCACAGUGGGACAGGGAUACGGCCCAGACGCCUACGGGAGGCAGCAGUGGGGAAUAUUGCACAAUGGGCGGAAGCCUGAUGCAGCAACGCCGCGUGCGGGAUGACGGCCUUCGGGUUGUAAACCGCUUUCGCCUGUGACGAAGCGUGAGUGACGGUAAUGGGUAAAGAAGCACCGGCUAACUACGUG
rnacentral:rRNA from 1 species